UAGAGGCAUGAGCCACUGCGCCUGGCAGUGUCAACUGUUGUGGAUGUAGAAACAUUUUAGAGGCUGUCUGCUAUAAAAUUACAAUUUGUCUAUGCCCAGGGAGGGUUUGGGUUCUCCUGACUCCCAGCUAAAUAACCAGUGCUUUCGAGCAGGGCAGCAUCUACGAAGAGUGAGAGCUGAUAUGAUUAAUACAGUAAGUAGAGGGUGGAAAUUUGUACUCUGCUUAGCUUCUGAUGUCUGCCUUUCCAAAAAUAUUCUCCUUAACUGCUUGGGCAAUGACUGCUCCUUAGAUUAAUCAGACUUUUAUGCGUCCCUCAGAAUGAAUAGUUGCAUCUUCCAUUUGUAUCACUGCCUCUGGUUAACAAAUUAGCAACAGCUUUGAUCUGUCAGAAUUGGGGAACAGCGGUCAACAAGGCUCCCAGUCUACAGAAGUUUGAUUUCAGGGUGCCAUCGGGUCUUGUGGCUCACAGAGAUUCGGAAGGCCUGCUUGCCUGUGCCUCUAAUUCCAAAUUAUAUGCCAUUGAUGGCUAUAAAAAUGCAACUCCCCUGAGAUAAGUAAAUCUUUAAGCUACUGUCCUUUGGCAGAUUUGAGAGGGACACUGGACACCAGGUUUCUGGGAGAAAAGAUAUCUUAAAAACUAGCAAGAUAGAAGUCUCAGAAGUCUCAGAACACAUUUCUUCUACUACAGAAGUUUGCCUAAGGCUUGUGCUAUUUCAUAAGAUGUAAAGUAGCACCUUAUCUAGAUAUCAUAAGGAUUAGCUAGAUGUUAUUAAAUGUAAAAUACUUUGAACUUCUACUUUCCGAGUUUUCACAGUUCUCAUAAAAUGUACUUUCCAAGUAAUAAAGAAUUGUCACAUUACAGAUAAGAAAAAGAAAAAAAAGCAAAAAGAGAAAAAGCAUUGCUUACCACCAUUUUAUUACUUAACAAAACAACAAUUAGCAUCUGGAUUUCUUUCUGGUCUUGAUUGUAUGCAAGAUUUUUUACUAUUGUUAACACAAUUACAAUCAAAGAAUGCAUACAGUUCUGUAACCUGACAUCAAGCUUUUUGAGCCAGGCAUUAUAAAAGGGAACAUUACAACAUGUCUAGGAUAAUUAGGUAAUUUCAAAUCUGUCUCUGAAAUGUUUUGCCCUUAAUUCAACCCUUGGGCAGUAGCAAUGAUGCAGUGAUGAGAAUUUCAAGAUAAACAACAUCCUUGUAAAAUGCACAUCUGUCUGUUUUAACAUUUGUUCUUGCAGAUCUUCAUGUCCCUCUCUGUGAGACUUUUGCAUGAUGUGAAUUGGGUGGUACAGGAAAAUCAUGUACUUGCUCAUACCUGACCGCAGUGAAACUAAAUGUCAAAGGCUCAGUGGGAAAAGAAAAGGAAGGGAGGCACCAGGAAGUCAGAAGACUCAAAUUAAUUCAUCACCAGACCCAAGAUGUACACAUCGUUGUAAACAAAUCCUUGAUGCAGUGUCUCCAGAGCCCUGGAGCAGUGUCUGGCCACAUCCUGGAUGCUAAAUAGGGGUAUCAACUUUCAUCAGAGGGCCUCUAAGCUUCUGGUCCCUACAUCCACCCCAUCUUGCCACAUGUGCUAGAAAUCUGUAGCUUGUCUUCCCCCCACCCCUCAACACACACUCCUAGUUUCCAUGGAGACGGAACAGUUUACUCUUUUCCCCCAAUUGUAAGCCAUGGUUAUUUUUAACUGGAAAACUCUGAGCCAGGUCACAGCUGGGAUCUGGAUGAUGCAAUGACGUCUAUAGUCACCCUUCUCUCCCACAAACGCCUUCUUUUGCACAGUCGCUGGGGGUGGGUGGAGGCACCCCUGGGAGACUUUGCUCUCAAAAGCAUUUCACUUUGCAUCUUCCAUUUGUAUCAUUGGAAGUUGAAAUUAAAUGAAA
rnacentral:lncRNA from 10 species